CUCGAACCGCUGUUGCUCAGAGCUUGCACUCUUGAGCGAGCUCUUAACCAGCUGAGCCACUCGGCCGGCCCCUGAAAAAUCUUAAGUUAAUGAACCUGACCCCUUUAGAAAGGCCCUCCUCUCCAUUGCUUGUAAGCACUGGACUCCCUGUCAGUCAUUCGACUGGUGUCCUUACCACACAGCCUUGGGCUACACCAACUCCCAACCCUGGGCACUGGCUUCACCCAUUCUCUCUGCUUCAACACGACGCAGCAUUACUAAAAGUCAUGAAUAACCUGGUAUACUACGACUUCAUUUAUCUUCCUAUGACACCACUGGCUUACUCAAAAAUCUCUAAGGGCCUCCUCCUCCCACUAACUCACAAGGCAAAAAACUAUGAGUUUAUGUGUAAAAAUAGAUCCACUGCCAAAAAUAGCACAGGGACUAUUUUGGAAAACUUAAAAUUCUUCAUCCAGCCUCAAACAUUGAGCAAACAAAAAUGCCACCCCUGAGCUGCCAGACAACAGUGGAGGUUGUUACUUCUCCCAAAUAGCAUUCCCAUCCUUCACAGCUAUACCACACAUGCUACCACCCUAUCUUUUAUAGUUGCCCACACCCACACAUGACCAACAAACUUGCUUUUGAUAAUCAGAGAUUAUAGCAGAAGAAAACGAUUCUCAUGAACAAUUAGGUAAACAUAACCACAUCAUAAAAUCUUUAAGCUUCUUUGGCAAAACCCUAUACAUGUUUUAAGGGGGGGAAAAAAAGUGAGUUAGAGGGGUGAAUGCUUUUUUGGCUGCCUCUUUCCCAAGUCAAAGCCCUGAAAGUGAGGAUUCUGCCUGGUCCCAAACUGGCAAAGCACCCAGUAUCAGUCACCACUUGCCCAGGCCUGGAAAGACCACGCCCUGUCCCCAGCAGGGUGAGGCUGCAGUUCUCUAAGGCCACCAGAGAGGCUCGACUGCAAGGUCAGAGCAGAUAAGUUCAGGUAAUUAAUAUCCAUUUUAAGCUUAAUAUUGAUCAAAACAGCUACCUCUGUAUCAUUAAGAGACUGCCUGUGUCUUGCUCUUGACAUAACUGAACAUUUUCAUAGGCACUGGCAGGGAUUAAACACAAGCCCAUCUAAAUGGCAUUACUGCAUGCUACUGUCCCUGGAGAUAUCAAGAAUGAAGCCUUCAGAAGCUAUGCCAGAUUCUGAUCACAGGAAAGUGCCAACACCCACCACCAAAGAGGGGAAUGCCAUGGCAGUGAGGAGAGGGGAGCAGAAGACAGGUGGCCUCAACUGGGACACUAGCAAUUUUACCAGCAACCCAGACACUGACAUUUGGGGGUCUAUGGGCUUGUAAAAUAUAUUAAAGGCAAUAGAGAGAAACACCUGGUGCCAAGGAUAUCGAAGUUUCUUAAAAUACUGCAAGUAUAAUUUAAUAUAGUGCUGCACUUCUGAAUUCAUAGCAGAAACUCAAAGUCAGUUAGUAUUUUGCUUCUUGAGCUAAAAUAAAUGCUGGCCUUCAAGAGAACAAGCAAAACCCAGAUGUGUGGCUUUGCCUUUUAUGCCCCUGUGUUAUGGCUACACCCCAUAAGUGGUCGAUUCUGUUUCUCAUCAAACUUGGCAGAAAAUUACUUACACCCAAUAGAUGGGACUUAUGUGUUCAGUAAACCCCCAGAUGAAAAAGGCUUAUAAUUUAGUCACCCAUGAUGACAAAGGCUAAUAUACCAGAAUGUAUACUAGAAACAUUACCCUUAGCCUCAUGCAACACUAACACACAGCGGUUCAAGUGAGAGCUCCAAACUCAAGAGUUCAAAUGCUGGCUUUACAACUAGACCGUGAGAAAAUUACUCUUUAAACUUCAUUUGUAAAAUGGAGUUAACAGUAUCUAUCCAGAGUUAUAAAGAUUAAGUAAGAAGGUUCACAUGGAAUAAGGGCUAAAACUUACUCAGUGCCUAAUAAGUAAAAUGAUUCUACUAAUAAUGUAAAAUUCCAGGCAAAGAUAAGAAAACACAUUUUUGACUUCUUUAAGGGAGUGGUGGCAGCUCUUCUGGGGAUAAUUCAGGAACCCAAACCCAGGUGGUGGUCACAACUCCCACUUCAGUGCAGCAGACUAUGUGAACUGUUCCCCAUCUGAAGUACAUUUUACUUCAGACUAUUCCAAGAAUCCAGAGCUUUCUUCCUUCCUCACCCAAGGGAUGACCAAGUGAUAAUUACAUUUCAAAUGACGAGUUAGUGGCAAACAGGCUCACUAGUUUAUAUAGUCGUACAUAUUUCAGACUGUAGUACCAAUGUGGCUUUAAGGUUUCACACUAACCACAAUUUUGGUACACCUCAAAAUCAUCCUUAGUUUUAGUAUCUGCAACACAGGUUGUCUCACCCCAGGCCGCUCAGCCGUGCUCUCCUUUUACAGACCACCUGCUCGUUUCCCCACUUCCCAUAAUCUCACAGCUGUUUGGAAUAAGAGCCUUUUGCCACCGGUUGGGCCAAGUGCCUCUUCUUCUCUGACUCCUGUUUCCUUCAACCGCAGCUUUGUUUCCUGCACUUAAAAUUUCUAUAGAUAUUCUUCAAGUCCUUCAGAUGCAUUUCUCCCCAUUCUUUGUCAACUUUCUAACUGACCGUGUAUUGGUAUUCUUGAGAAAAGAUUAGAGCUCUAGAACCUUUCAAUGUUUCUUCCCACUAUUUACACUCUAUGUAAGCUACUAGGUAUGAGAUGAGAGCUUGAAGACACUCCUUUAUUUCACCUCAGAAACAUUUCUUGCCUCUUCCAAUUAUGGGGUGAGGCAGGGAAUUGCAGUUCUCAGUUGACGUGAGGCAACGCCACUGUCCAAUACGCAAGAUUUUUCUUAAAGAUUUUUCUUAAAGCUUACCGGCACCAUCCUCCAGGUGAUUCUGGUAGCAUAAGAAACAUCAGUCAUUACAGGUAGGCAAUAUUAGGUGACCAUUUACAUUAUAAAGGAACAAGAAAACAAGUUAGGAGAAUGAAGACUAAAAACUGACUUGACAGUUAACACCAACAUUACUAGUUUUACAAUUCACAGGACCCAAAGGCAAGAGGUAAGUUUCAAGGUCAGAGAGGUGGCAUCAGAACAUCCCCUCUCUCAGGUGCACUGUUCCGUCCUCCUGAGAGCAGUCUACUUACCUGCCCUGACGAAAACCUAUAUAAACCCAGGGGGUUAGAAUCAGACACUUUCCAAAAGCUCUUCUUAAGGCCUGUGAUAUUAGUAAAAUGGAGACCGAGUCUUCUCAAUAGUAUUAAGAAUUUAACAUACAAACAUCAACUUAACAGGUUAAAAAAAAACAUAAGCUGUUUCCCAUUGACCUUUGCCAGGUCCUUUCCAAUAAAUAUAUUCCAUUAAUUUAAAUGACAAAAAAAUUUAACAGAACAGGUAUACUGAAAAAGUUUAUUUAUUAGGAAUUACCUUCAUAGAAUGGUUCAUCACAAUUCUGAGAUGAUAUGAUUACAGCUUGGUUUGAAUUUUCAAUGCUGGAAGGCUUAUCCAACCCAUCAAUCAUUUCAGAUACAGAUAUCACAGAUUUGCAACACACGGAGGGGUCCAAUAGUUCGCAAAGUGUCACCUUAAACAUCUCAGAGAAAAACUGUGGAGCCAGUUUUCCCGUAGGAAGUCGCAGGAAAGCAUUUUUCAAGACUGCUUAUGAAGACCAGAAAGCCAAUUUUUUCUCUCCCCACUGGGGAGAAGAGGCUCACUGAAGUAUGACUUGCUUUGUGGAUAUUAGUUAGUGGCUUUAUCUCAAAGAAAUUAAAAGCUCAGGGACCCUUCCAAAGAAACGAACCCACACAUGCAGUCCUGUUUCUGUAAAAUUUCCAAAAUUAAUAUAUUUUACAUUUGUUUUCUUAAGGAGGGCCCCCAGAAUUACAAAGACUUCAACCCCAAACCUAGAGUGUCCCUGGUUCGGAUGAAAAGCUCCUAUCUAAUCCAUGACAUCAGGUCAAGUCACCACUGAAUCAACAAAUGGGCCCUGGUGGUGGUGGUUUCUGAACACACCUAAUUCAAGUAUAACAAGGACACCACAGGAAACACAGCUCUACAAGUACUUUUCUUACCUGGAUAAUCCUAAGUACUGACCUCAGCAUACUUCACAUAACAUUAAUAUCAAAAGCCUUAAAAGGAGCUUUUCAAAUGAUUCUGAAAUUUUAUGGUGCCUCUGGAUUUGCAGUUUUUUCUCUAAGAAAUCCCCUCACAAAGCCAGCAAAAAGGCAAAUGAGCUAUAAACCAGGGAAGUAAUUCUCGAACUUCCCACUCAAAUUUGCCAUGAGAGCUGGUUAAAGUGCAGAUUUCGGAGUCCCACCCCCAGAGUUAGGUCUAAGGUGGGGCCCAGGCCCAUCCUCCCAGGUCUCAGAAGGUUGUGCACGGGAUGAACACAGCGUGUUGGUGGCUGCAGUUGUAGUUCUACCACUGUGUGACGCAGAAAGAAGUAAUGUUCAUUUAGAGAAAACGUAAAAUAGGGUUAAGAAACAGGGAAAGUGAGAGAAUAACCGGAACUGUAAGUCUCAGAAACGCAGGUGGUAUCUAAUCCACAGCAUUUGCUAGGGUGUGUGUGGCUUGCUCCCGGACUCCUUCGCCGGGAAUCAAACUGCAGAAUCGAUCUGAGAGUCUCGGGAAUGCAAAGGCAUACAGGCUCUUCUCACUUAGAAGUCCCGUCUCAUUUUAAUCUUCAGGCAGAUGGGCGCAGCAUCAAACCUGGGAGUGGGGCCCCACGCCCUUCGCCCUCCCACCCGAAUCCACGCCUAGACUGCAGGAUGAGGUCUCCGCACACAAAUCCAGAACCCCGGGCAUAAGAAGAGUCGGGCGAGCACAGCCAAAGUUUGGAAUUAGACUACAUAUAGGUCGUGACAGCGAAAACCAGGAGACAGGGAGCCACUCAAUAGCUCUGAAAGUGUAAGGUAUUUCAUCAUUGGCAGUUCAGCAAACUCAAGAGGAUGAACAGGGGUGCUUCAUAGAACCAGUGUUUGGACGAUCUCUGUACACAGAAUGGAGGAAGGUAACAAGUACCUCCUCCAUAGCAGAUCACAGGGAAGCAAUUUUCCAGUGAGCGCCCUCUUGGUUAAGUAUGUUAGUAGGUGGUGAGCAGAUUGCUACAGGCUUCUGUCUUCCAGACAACAGUGGCAGGCUGGCCCCAACUCUGGAAACAAAGGGAUCUGGGAGGACCAAAGCCAGAGGAGAAGGCUGACUCCAGAGCACUGGCCUCCGCAGACACAGCACUGAGCUGCCACUGGGGUCAGAGGUUAGCAGCAGAACCAGGUCUCUGCCCAGGCAUCCCAAAGCCCAGGCUUGGGCUUGUCCUUGGACAGCUUCAGCCUUACCUUGAAGAAGACAGAGACCAGCCUUGGAAAUGCAGCUGAGGACCUCACGUUGGGCUUGCUGGUUUCAGCACAACUCUAGCUUCCUUUGGAAGGACCCCUCUGCGUCAGGCUGGGCCAGCACCAUACUGGGUUUUGCCCCUCUGCAUUGAGACUGUUUCUUCAUCUCCUCUACCAAACAGGGACCCAUGAUUCAGGGACUAUCACGCUCACAGAGGUAUCUCCAGAGCCUAGCACUGUGCUUGGCAUACAGCAGGUGAUCAAUAAAUACUUCCCAAAUAACUGAGUGCUUUGUAUCAGCAUCAGGAAUCCACUGGGCCCUGAGGGAGUCGGGAGAUGGGAAGAAGGCUUUAGAGCUCCUGCCACGCCUUACAUUAGC